CUCUGGGCGAAGAACAGCAGGAGAAUUUGUGAGUGGUCAGCCUGGGGACAGUGACACUGGAGAUGUGCGUUCAUGAGAAUUCUCCAUUUUUUUCUUUCAGCCUUUGAAUGAAUACAACGUUGCCCGGUUGGAAUAUUAUCGCUUUUACGAGAAAAAUAGCAUAAAAAUAGAUUUUAAACAGCGUUUGACAUGCUUCGAAGUACGGUAAUGGAAUAUUUUGAAUUUUUUGGUCACGAAAUGCACUCGCGCGUCACCCUUCGGAUAGUGACCUGAACGCACAAACAAAACAGAGCUAUUUGAAUAUAACUAUGGAUUAUUUGGAACCAAAACAGCAUUUGUUGUUGAAGUAGAAGUCCUGGGAGUGCAUUCUGACGAAGAACAGCAAAGAUCUCAGAAGAUUCAGAACAAUUGAGUCUCCAUUUGUGAUGCCCCUGGGGGAAAGAGCUUGAUGGAGAUGGUUGAAAUCAUGGAGUAGGAUGCAAGUCCCAUCCCCAGGAACUCAUACUUAGAUAAGACUGGAUUCAAUUUAGCGAAGACGAGGAAGAAAGGAAGGAACAUCAUUGGUCAACGUGCCAUCAUUGAGGUACCUGGCCAGCGUGGGGGAAAUGUCACCAUAUGCACAGUGAUGAGCCACAACGGGGUCCUCCACCGCCAUGCCACCCUAAGUACCAUACAACUCUGCCCAUCUCCUCAAUUUCCUGAACACCUCACAUGACAAUCUUUUUCAGUCAGAGAGUAUGUUCAAAUGUAUGUUCUAAUUUGGGACAACUUGAGUUUCCAUCGGGCUGCUCAGGUCCGCAACUGGUUCCAUGACCAUCCCAGGUUUACAAUUCUCUAUCUCCCACCAUAUUCCCCAUUUCUCAACCCCAUUGAGGAGUUGUUUUCAGCAUGGCGGUGGAAGGGGAAUGAUUGCAAACCCCAUGAACAUAUGGCCCUUCUCCAGGCAAUUGAAGAGACCUGUGGUGACAUUCCAGCAGAGUCCUGUCAGGGGUGGAUGCGUCAUGCCAGAAGAUAUUUCCCCAGCUGUCUGGACAAGGAGAAUAUCGCCUAUGAUGUUGAUGAAAAUCUGCGGCCGGACCAAAACAAAAG
rnacentral:lncRNA from 1 species